CCCUCACCCUCCAAACAGACCGUUAUUAGCGAUGAUUUAGCAUAGAAACAACAACGUUGUUCAGCUGUUGCAUCACAAUCCUCUUUCAUUCUCUGGGUAUUAACUUGGGAUUGCAAUGUUUGGUUCGCGUGGAUCUUUUGGAUUACUCGACAAUAUUAGUCGAGCUCUCUUUCAAAAUUUGUCGUUUCGUUGCCAAAGGGUCCAAUGCCUUCGCAUUGGUAAUGCUGAAAUCCCAAAUGACAAGCGCUUGAGGUUUGCUCUUCAGCACAUCCAGGGAAUUGGCCGCCAAAGAGCUCACCAAAUCCUAAAUGACCUUAGCAUAGGGAACAAAUUUGCCAAGGACUUGACUGGAUUGGAGCUCCACUCUCUUAGAGAUGAAGUCUCUAAGUACUUGAUUGGAGAAGACCUAAAGCGAUGUGUUAGAAGUGAUAUACAGAAAUUGGUAGAUGUUCGGUGCUACAGAGGAUUCAAUCAUGUUUGCCUGUUGCCAUGCAGAGGACAGCGAACUAGCACUAAUGCCCGGACCAGGAAGGAUCAAAGAAAUCGUGAUAGAAGCAAGUGGGAUGCACAUCAGUCUCUGGCAGAAACGAUGCAGAAGCGUCAAGAAAGAAGGUAGGAGUGGUCAGCAUGAGAGUCAAUAAUAGCUUUUGCACUGAUUAACUUGCUCAUAUUUAUCUGCUAGUUUUGGCUUUGCAAUAAUAACUCUUGUUUUCAUGGUUAAUGUCAAUUGUGAACGUUUUUGUACUGGCGGCCAACUCAUGGCAUUACAAAAAACCAUCCUGGGG
rnacentral:misc_RNA from 1 species